rfam:Armatimonadetes bacterium CSP1-3 XT14_C0021, whole genome shotgun sequence.
CCGCGAUAAAGGCACCCCGCCCGCGAGGGCGGUUCGCAAAACCACGGGACUGGCGAGACCAGUCAGCCGGGUUGCCGAA